CGCCCUCCACAGUACUGUGGCGCUGUUGGCCCAAUGUCGCAGCGUCAAGGCAUGUGCCAUGUGGCGCUUUCGUUAGUAUGUGUGUUUAACUCUUUCCAGCUCUGCGCAGACCGAUCACUUUAUGACAAAGAGCAUGCGGACUUAGAAUAACAUCUCUAAAGCAUACAGAGCAGUCAGUUCACAAAUAGCUCUCACUGUGCUUUGAUGUCGCCGAUCAGUCUGCGAUCAAACAUCAGUGGCACGAGUGUUCACCGGUGUUGUUCCGCUCGCGCGGAAUUCAAAAUAACGGAUCGCAACAACCUCUCGACUGUCCCAUUGGAUAAUUUUCAGUAUUUUCCAGUUGAGCAGCAAAAAAAUGGGCAACCAAGGCCAACAGACCCAGCCCACCCUGAUGCUCAUCCUUGCACUGCCUGGGACACCUAAGGCCAACAGGCGCAGCUCCUGUUCUCUUUUUGCCAUAAAUACA